ensembl:lncRNA
AAAAGAGGACACCUUUUUUUUUAUUGAAAAAAGACACACUAUUAGCAUCAUGUAAAUAUAUAUAAACAUAAUUGGUUUCACUCUGCCAAUGGCUAAUCGUUGAAAGGCAGGAAUUCAGCCAAUAGUUGCUGCAAGCCUUUUAUAAUCGACCAAUCGGUGUGUGAGUAGGCGGGACUUACAGAGAAGGGUUAACGCAAUGCACGUGCGUAUGCACAUGAUGCAGUAUUAGAGCAUAAACACAUCAUAACGAAACUAAAGCCGAAUCCCGAAAAAGAGGACAUGUCAGGGGGAAAGAUGACAUAUGGUCCCCUUAUGUACGUGAGUUUCUCUCCUGGACUCCUGCAUUUCCGUGAACAUUAACUGAAGCUCUUGACCUGUAUCUGCAUGAUUUGGUGCACUGUGCCACUGCCACCUAAAUGAUUAAGUGGAUAAUUGCAAGAAUGAGCGGGUGUUCCUAAUAAAGUGGAUGGUAAGUGUAUUACUGAAAUACUGUAAAUUGCACUGAGAUGAGCGCAUGCUGUGUUGCCUGAUAUUUUACAUCGUAAUACAGAUUGCCUGUACCGUUGCAAAUAAAGUGUUUCUAACAGUGCAUUAUUCUAAUUAAAAGAGCGAUGAGUUAAAUCGAAUGCAUUAUAAUUUAUUAUUGAUCAUGCGUUGAUGAUGACCGAUAUAUUGAUGACUAACAUCAUGGAUUUAACAGCAAUCAAGCCAAAUUUGAGAGGGGAAUAUUUGGGAUGCCAACCCAAACUAUGUGUCUGGUUACCCAGCUAUAAAAUGCCUACAUUUAGGACUAAAAUAAGUUGUGUGUAAGUUUCAUGGAUGUAAUCACAAACUAGAGAGUACUUUAAGAGUGGUAGAAAACACUAGCAAUGAAACACUGACACUGAGAUGGUUUAGCUCACUGAAUAUUUGAGAGUAGCUUGAAUAAACCAAUCCAUAUACAUUAUUAUGUUCACUGCAGACAAAACAACAUUUCUCAUAGAAAACAUGAUGGUGAAAAGAUACAUUUCCGUUUUAAACUGAUUCAGAACCAUGAUUGCUUUUGCAAACUUGUGUUGAUGUAGUGAUAUAAGUGUGUGCUCCCAAGAGGGGGAGGCAUUUCACUUCAGGGUGAUGCAAAAUACCCAAUAAGCAACCAACAUGGCUGAAUGACAACAGUUGGCCAUUACAAAUCAGCAUGAGCAAACUGUUUAUAUAUACAUGUAUACAGGGUGUCCCAAAAGUCUACAUACAUACGGGAAAUUAACACUUAAUGAACAAAGUGUAACUUUAUUUACAACACACCCUCUACAUGAUUGGCAUUUCUUUGUACACAUGAUAAUGAACUUGUAUUAACACUUCUGGUGAUAUGCCACAGCUUCCUGAGCCAGCCAUGAGAAUGAUUUCAAUACUUUUUUUACUUUUUUGUUAGAGGCAUGCUUAAAUGUUAUCUGGAAAAAAAUAUAUAAAUUCCUCUAUGUAUGGAGACUUUUGGGACACCCUGUAUAUUCAUCAUUUUUUUGUUUUCCAUCCCUUGCAUCAGCAAUUUCUCCCAUACGUUAUCUUCCCUGCAUCCCUGAAUGGCUUUUUAUGUUUAGCUAAAUCCAUGCUAACCUUAACAAGCAUUCAUUUGCAUGCUCUUUAUAGCAGUGAGAGAACAGACUAGCACUCUGGUCUGUUCACAUCAAACUUUCAGUUGGUUUGUUUUAUUUGCCCCCAGAACUGAAUUUGGGUAGGUUAAUUCAAAGUGUUUCAUAGUGAUGCUUCACAUUAGCACUCUUGACUAGCGACACAGACUCUGAAGAUGAGAUCCGUUGAUUCUGAACUUUAAGUUUAACGAGAAUAAAUGUCCAUACUUCUGUCCAUGCAUCUUUAACCAUUUGGUGUUCAUCUUCAUCUUCAGCUUUUCUUUUUGAUUAUUAUUUUUUUUUAACAAGCCAUUUUGGCAAUUUACUAGUCAGACCAGAAAGGUUAAAUGAAACAAAUAAAACAUCUACAAAGUCUGUAUCAUUCAACCUUUCUGAUUAUAA